UGUGUGAAGAAGGCCUUUUGGUUGUAAAGCACUUUAAGUGGGGAGGAGGCUUACCUGGUUAAUACCUGGGCUAAGUGGACGUUACCCACAGAAUAAGCACCGGCUAACUCUGUGCCAGCAGCCGCGGUAAUACAGAGGGUGCGAGCGUUAAUCGGAUUUACUGGGCGUAAAGCGCGCGUAGGUGGUUAAUUAAGUCAAAUGUGAAAUCCCCGAGCUUAACUUGGGAAUUGCAUUCGAUACUGGUUAGCUAGAGUAUGGGAGAGGAUGGUAGAAUUCCAGGUGUAGCGGUGAAAUGCGUAGAGAUCUGGAGGAAUACCGAUGGCGAAGGCAGCCAUCUGGCCUAAUACUGACACUGAGGUGCGAAAGCAUGGGGAGCAAACAGGAUUAGAUACCCCGGUAGA
rnacentral:rRNA from 1 species